rnacentral:lncRNA from 1 species
AAAUCUGGACAAAGGCUUGUUGUUGGAGAAGGUCAUCAGGAGAAAGUGAGUGCCAGUUGACUUGAAAGGUAUACUCAGGCAAUAGAAGACUCCUCAUCACCUUCCCUGUCUUUAAAAUAAACUUCCUGCCAUCUAUUCCCAUGCCAGUAGCCAUUUCAAGAAUGUAGCCUUGAGAGAGAAAAAUGUUGUUAAGGCCAUCUGGACUGUAUACGUGACUGAACCCCAUUAAGGCCUCUUAUAAACUAUUCAGAUUCUGACUGGCAGGUGCAGAAUUUUCCAUGUCUUACAGCUGCCCAAGGCAAGGCUCUGAUGUCAAUUCCCUUGUGUAUUGAAACUGCCACCUAACAACCUGGAGUGGUCUACCUGUUUCUUCCAACUCUCCCUGCCCUCAUUGUACAGGGGCCAGUCUCAGAUUUCACCAAGAACUCUUGAGGUUGUGAACCAACAGCUUGAGACAAUUCCCAAGAUGACAUUUCAGCCAAGCCUACAGUAGGAUAUUGCAUCAGAAGAUCUAUCAUGUGAAUUCCAGGCUACUGCUCCAACAUUCAAAACUGAGCUGCAUUAUACCAACAAUGCUGAUGAGAUACUGGUGACCCAACAAGGACCAAGGUGUUAUGAGGACUAACUGACUUGGUCACAGAGCCAGAGUGGUUCCAGGCCCCCUGAAGCCCAUUGCAGGUAAGACAUUUAUUCUGUGCACAACUGGUAGCCUGUGCUCCUUGACCCUCUUCACUCCAAGCCAGGU